GUAGGUGGCAAGCGUUGUCCGGAAUUAUUGGGCGUAAAGCGCGCGCAGGCGGUUUUUAAGUCUGAUGUGAGAGCCCACGGCUCAACCGUGGAGGGUCAUUGGAAACUGGAGAACUUGAGUACAGAAGAGGAAAGCGGAAUUCCACGUGUAGCGGUGAAAUGCGUAGAGAUGUGGAGGAACACCAGUGGCGAAGGCGGCUUUCUGGUCUGUAACUGACGCUGAGGCGCGAAAGCGUGGGGAGCAAACAGGAUUAGAUACCCUGGUAGUCCACGCCGUAAACGAUGAGUGCUAAGUGUUAGGGGGGUUUCCGCCCCCCUUAGUGCUGCAGCUAACGCAUUAAGCACUCCGCCUGGGAGUACGGCCGCAAGGCUG
rnacentral:rRNA from 1 species